rnacentral:tRNA from 1 species
GCUCUUGUAGUUUAAUGGUAGAACUUUCCGCUCAUAACGGAACAGAUGUGGGUUCAAGUCCCACUGGGAGCA